ACCCAUUACAUCCACUCAUUACCACAACACUCAUCACUACCACCUUAAUUAGAUGGUGGUCCUUUCCCUAGCCUAUAAAUACAUCCACCCUUCACUAUAACAAAUGGGAGAACACAAUCCUCCCAUCCACCCAUCCACCCUUCACCAUAACUCACCUAUAUCCAUCCACCACCAUAAUUUACCACUCAUCCAUCAAACCACACCUUGUACCGCAACAAAGAGAAGAAGGAGGACCCUUGGACGUGCUUGCCAUUCAAGUUGGAUUGUUUGAGUGUUUUUAGGUGUUUUCAUUCUUUUGUUUUCAAUGUCUAAAUUUGUUUAUCUUUGCUUUGUGAGUAUGAGGAACUAAACCCCCCUUAGCUAGGGGGAAUUUGAAACCAUGUUCAUGCUUGCAAUAUGAUUUGAUUACCUUCAGUUGUGAUUUCAUAAGUUGUGAAUUCAAUUUGUUUAACUGCUUGAUUGAUAACUUAUUCGUGUAUGUUUAUUAAGAGUGCACACUUAGUUUGCAUGCAUGAAUAUGAUGCUAGAGUAUAAGGGAGUUUCACCUAAUAGUUACAAACUUAUAUUCACAAGUAGUGGAGGUCGCUUAUAAACGAUUGCGUUAAAUAAAUUCUUGGCAGGAGUUUCAUGCUCAUCAUAGUAAUGAGUGCCUCGUCAAUACUUAUAGUUUUCAUAAUACUUAAUGAUCUUUGAUUGUAUCUUUAUUGUGCUGUUCACGUAAAGAACUUUUGAAGAAUGCUUGAAUUGUUGUAUGCACUUUCCCAUCCAAUUCAAUAACUUAAGGAGAACUUGAAGGUUAAUUUAAGCGGACUUAAUUAACCUGGGGUGUUGAGUUUCAUGAUUGAUCGAAAGAACAACUGAAAAUUGGUUUAUGUGCAAGUAUGUCAUGUGUGGAGAAGAACCUCCUAGCUAGCCUUCCAUCCAUUCAAUUUACUCAAAUUCGAGCAGAUUUCAUUAGUUCUUUAAUUUACUUGUUUUGUUUUCAAAUUCGUCAAAACCAAAACCCCCUUUACUUUAAAGUGUUUUAUUAGUCAAAAUCUGUUUUGAUUUGUGUUUUUAGGUGUCCCAAAAGUGUGUUAGAGUCCAAAUCUACUCAGUUUGUGUUUUUAGGCAGAUUUGAGCGUUUUUAGCUUGUUUUGAGUCCUUUGAGUUUGUUUUAAGUUCUUUGAGUCUAGUUUAGUGUUUUUAACUUUGUUUAUAUGUUUUUAACUCAGUUUAGAGGUUUUAGCAAGCCCUCCUAAUCCCCGGUUUAGAACGAUCACUACUUGCAUUUAUACUACAAUUUGACAACAAAAGGGUUUAAUUUGUGUGUUAAGUUAAUUUUCGCAUCAAAUUUUUGGCGCCGUUGCUGGGGAUUAGCAACUUUUCUAAUCCUCCAUUGUUUCUUUUUCAUGUUUUUUGUUUUAGUUACUGACUUUGUUUCUAUUUGUGUCUUUUAUUUUUACUUAUGAUAUUUGAUUUAGUUUUGUUUCCUUGAUUUCAAGUACUAGAGAAGUAAGACAUGGAUUUUGCUACCAUUCAAGCUCAAUUGGUGAAACUUACUUCUCAAUUGUCACAAUAUGCCGAAAGGACCACAAUGCAAAGUGUCUCUACAGAUGGUGUGUCUUAUGGGCAAGGAUAUCCAACUCAUCAAUGUUCUCAAUUCGCUACGAAUGAAGAUGCUUGGGGUUAUCAAGGCCAUAGCCAAUUAGGGGACAACAUGUUUUCCAACGCUUACAAUUAGGAUUGGAGAGAUAAUUCAGAUUACAUGUGGGGAGAACCUCAACAAUUCCAACAAGGUGGGUAUUGGCAGCAAGAAGAGGAAUUCUAUUCAAGACCUAUGCAACCACCACAACAAUCUGCCUAAUUCAAUUCAGGUACGUCUUUGGAUAAUGAUAUGUUUAAUAAGUUACUCACCUAUUUGAACCAAGAAGUAGAAAAUGGAAACAAAGAAAUGCAAAAUCCAGCCAAGAAGACGGGAGAAUUGGAUAAGCAAAUUGGGCAUAUUAUGGAGUUCAUGGCACAAAUUCAAGAGCAAAGUGAACUCUCCAACUCAACUAAUGAAAAUUUGAAGGAAGAUUUUGAAAUCCAUGAUGCUAUCACUUUAGGAAGUGCUAUAGAGGUUGGAGGUGAACCGAAGACAUCCAAACCAAGCCAAAACAUGGAUAAACAGUUGCUGCUCAAAGAAUAGGAGAAUAACAAGGCCACGGCAAGGGAAGAACCACCCUUGCCGCAGCCUCAUAUGCCUUUUAUGCCAUCCAUUACAACCAAGGUAAGCCUAAAUUCAAUUUGUCCUGACCCCGUUUCACCAAAUGUCCUUAUUCCUUGCAGGAUCAUGCAAUCCAAGGAAGAAGAGGGUGAAAAAGGCAUAUUCGAAACCUUUCCAAAGAAUCAAGAGCAAGAAGUGGAUGGGGAAUGUCUAGAAUUCAUCAAAGAAGAUACAUUUGAGAAAAAAAUUCCCAAAGAAGUUGGAUUUUAUAACACGGGACAAGUUAUAACUAUUAAAACACCAAAUCUGGCUAAGUCCCAUAUCCCUGUAACCUUCAAAGAUGUGGUGUUCGUAAUUGAGUCUGUGUUGGAGCAAGCAAGUAAUCUAUCUUCUCCAACUUCGAUUUUAUUAUAUACUAACUUGCUGAUUUUGAUGAUUCAGGCACCUACACUAGAAUUUAAACCAUUGCCGGAUCACGUCAAGUAUCACUGUCCAUUCAAGGAUCAAUUCCAUGCUAUGGGCCCUAUCCAAGUUUAGAAGGAAGUUUUGUCCGGCUGGAAGACGUUAAAGCAAACGCUUCUUGGGAGGCAACCCAUGUAUUCGAAUAAGGAAGAUUUUUGAAUUGCUCCACGAUUGGUUUUACAUUCCUAAAAACCUUCCCUUUUCUGUAGUUUUAUUUUGCCAUGAUUGUCUUUUUUAUUUGUUGCUUGUUUAAUUAUUUUUGGUGUGGGUUUAUUUUUAAAACACUGACAGUUAUGCAAGGUAUUUUUACAUUCAUUUUCAUAAAAUAAAAAAGGAACAUUAAGCAGAAAAAAGCUACAAGAGGGAGCCUUCACAAAGGCUGCUUAGGAGAAGUUUUAGUAGUCGGCGGAGCCUCAGCAGCCGACGGAGCCCCAUAAGGAGGAAGCAUCGGAGAUUGAUCAUUUAGAGCUUCAUUACGCGGUACAGCCUCAGAAGACGAAGGCAAAUGCUGUUGGAACAAACCCACAAACCUCUGAUGAUCAAGUAAAAUCUGACCAUCAGAUUCCUGCAUCUGGUUAAUCUUCCUCUUCAUGUUUGUAGCAUAGUUAUGUGCGAGCCUGUGCAACUGUUUAUUCUCAUGCUUGAGCCCUCUAAUCUCCUGUUUGAGACUCAUCACUUCAGCCGCCAAUGAUUUAACUUGACGUGUUCGAGCCAAUAGGCAUUGGGCCAUAUUAGACACAAAACCUGCACAUUGCACACUGAGAGCCAGAAAAUCCUUAAUAGCCAACUCAUCAGACCGUUUGGCAAGUAGUCUGUUAUCUUUGGGAGUGACAAGGUUCCUGGCCACCACCGCAGCUGUCAUAUCAUUCUUCAUCACCGAAUCCCCAACGAUAAGGGGACCAGUAGGGGAUAUGAAGGAUGGGUUCCAUAUGUUGUUUAGAGAAGGCGGGACUGCCUCUUCACCAAGGUUCAAGUCAAAAUGACGGUCAGAGGGGCUGGACAUUUUCAGAGGUGUUAAAGAAAGAAGAGGUGGGACAAGUCAAGAUUAUAGAAGUGCAAGAAGGGAGUUUCUACAUGCAGAAAUUUUAGUGUGCUUUGAACGUCCUGCGUACCUCUAUAAAAAUCAACACUCGACGGGAUUUCAGAGAUCGAAGAGGCGAGCUCAGAAAUCGAAGAGGCCAACUCAAAAAUCGAAGAGGCGCUAGCUUUCUCAAAAACUGGGCUUGCUCAGAAACCACAGCCAAUCUUCUUUUCCAGAUUUGUCCGCACUUGUCACAUGCAACCUCUGCACUUGACGGGAUUUCAGAGAUCGAAGAGGCAAGCUCAAAUAUCGGAGAGGCAUCUACUUUUCUAGACGUGUCAGCAUCUGUCACAUGCAGAGUUAGCUUUACGGAAAUCAUAGGCAGUUUGUUGAAGCGCCGAUUCCAGAUAUCGAAGAGGCACUUGCUUUUCCAAACGUGUCAGUGCCUGUCACAUGCACACUCAGCCUUGCUGAAAUUACAGGCAAUCUGUCGAAGAUCUCUUAUGAAGUAGAAAGCACGUGAAGUUUACUAUUAAAUCAUCCAACGGUUGCUGACAAGAGUGAAAUAAUAGUACCGGUUAUUAAUUCCUAUAAAUGUCACCCUUCACCUUCCAUUGCAAGGCAAACAUACAUAACCCUUCUUCUUCUCCGAGAAUACCUUUCCAACAAACCCUUUUGAGUCACUCAAUGUUCCUUAUUCCUUGGGGUACCUCUGCAAAUAACUCAUCCAAAGCAAAAGUAUUUCAUAUCAUGAAGGUUGAAAGCAAGAGUAUCUCAUAUUAUGCUUUCUCCAUGUCAUUCUCCUUGUCGUUGAUUUGGGACAAGGAGAAAGAGAGCAAUCAGCCAGCACUUGGUAUCAAUCUUCCGAUCUGGAACCGACUGCCUGGAACCCCUUCCUGAUUGCUUACUUAGCCUUGCUCUCGAGUAUUCAUCUUCAUUAUCUUAUGCUUCCUCUUCGUCUACCACAUCUGCCUGGGGAAUAGAUAAGGGAAGUGAAAAUGAUACCUCGAAGCAUGUGGAGACAAUGUGCUAAUUCAUCUGUAGCUAGGGACAAGGAGAAAGAAAGCAAGAGGUGGGCACUUGGAAAGAUUAAAGAAAGAAACAAACCAACACCUCUACCUCGUGUCUGCCUGCCGUGCAGAAGAAACAAGCAGAGAAGAAUGCAGACUGCACAAUCAAAUCAACCCAGCAGAAUGAGACUCAUUUGAAACCAAGGAACUCUCAUAUUCCUCGCUCAGAAUUCCAAACCAGUUCGAGAUCAAAGUUGUGGAAAGACAACAAGAUCAUCUAUCUCCAAAACCAGAUUUGCGUUCUUAAACUCUACUCUGUCUGGUUUUUACUUGCCAUACUUGUCAUGUUUAUUUGUUGUUUGUUUGUUUGCUUGCUUGUUUUUUGUGUGAGUUUAUGCUUGAAACAUUGAGGACAAUGUUUCAUUUAAGUGUGAGGGGGGGUAACCAUUGUUUUGCAUGAAAUUCUUUGGAGUUUAUCACCCAUUACUUCUAGUGUUGUUCCUUGAUGUUUUAAGUGUUUUUAAGCUGUUUUGGAGUGUUUCAGCGUGUUUUGACAUAAAAAUCCGAAAAUCUCAUUAAAAAUUUGAAAAACUGUUUUGAAAAACCCAAAAAGAGUUGUUUUUGUAUGUUUAUUUGUGUCUUAGGGUACCUUCCAACACAAUGAUGAGGAUUUGGUUUUUAAUUACAUGACUGUUAAAGAGAGUUAUAAAUAUGGAUGAAAAUUUGAUUUACUCUUUGGUGUAUGCUUGGUUGUGGUUAUAAUUUAUGAAUUCACAUGCAAUCAUAAAGGAAAAAUCAUUUUUUUAACAUGCUUGAAAGAAGGAACUCAAAUGUACGCUACAACCUUGUGAGACUUGAGCCUAAACGUUUAUUUGGAGAGUUAAUAAUCUGUGCGUCAUUGUUUUCUAAAGUCGUUGCAUGAUCUCAUUAUUCUUUGCUUGGUUGCUACUUAGAAGGCGUUUCAUCAUUUAGUUCCAAAUGCUAGAACUCAUGCCUAUUUCAUUCAAAGCAUGCUAUUGAUUUGCAUAACACAUUUUCAAGAUGAAGUUGUGUAGUGACCACCAAAGCCAAAUUGCCGUGCCCCUAUUUCAUUAUGUGUUUAAGUUUAACCCCGUUGAGCCUUGUUAAACCUAUGUUCUUUGUUAAACCACACUAUCCUUACCUAGCCUAGUUUUAGGACCAUUCAUACCCUUGUUCUUGAAGCAUAGUAAAGCAUGACUUAAAAUGAACUCCUUUUUUAUCAAUGUAUUGCAGAAAGUAAGUGUGGGGGAAGUGAUUCUUGUGUGUGUGUGUGUGUGUGCCAAAGUCCUUAAUAAGCCACGGGUAAAAAAAAAAAAAAAAAGAGUGAAAAGAAAAAAAAGUUUGUUAAAAAAGGGUCCAAAACAUUGAAUUCGGCCCUAAGUGUUGCAUGAAUCUUCCCUUUGUAUUUAAAAGUUGAUUCUGCAUUCUAAAAUGAAUUCCAAGUGUCUAUUUCAUUGCUUUGCUUGCUAUCGCUUUAAGAACGUUUGUUAUUCCUAUCAUUUCUUUGUUAGCCAUUACCCCCAAGCCUUGUUACAACCCUUGACUUCAAUCUUGAGUGUUGUGUGUUUCAAUAUGUGGAGUUCGAAAUUGGUAUGAGCAUAUGGUGUCAUUGGUACUCGCAUCUAAGUAGUAGCAUACAAUUCAUGAGAUCAUAUCUAAACAUGCUUAUUAACUCCAGAAAUUGCUUUCUUUGUUAUAACAUAUGUGAGUACUAGUCUUCCAUGUUUACAUCAAUCUUCUCACAUAUAACUAGUGUAGGGUGUGUAGUCAGAAAAUAUGUGUGAAAAUAGAGAGUAUCUAGUAAGGAAUUGAGGGAAUUCUCUAAGGCAUGUUACUACCUUCAAAAUGUUGUUUUAAUUAAUUAAAUGUGAGCUAGUGAAUGGUGACUAUGAUUAAGUAUGUUCGAGGGUAAGGAUUGCUUAAAUCUAUGUAAGUGGUGAUCUUUGGCAUGUCAUGUUUCAUUGAAAAUCCCUAAGGCAAAUGUUGGAAGGUUAGGUUGUGUUUUGUUUGUUUUGUUUCGUUUUGUUUCUUUUGUUUUGCUCGAUGACUAGCAAAAGCUAAGUGUCGGGGAAUUUGAUAGGAGCAUAUUUAUGCGACUUAGUUAGCUUGUUCUUGUGCAUUUGUGUUGUUAUUUCUUAGUUAAUUAUGUAUUUUAAGCUAUUUUCGUGUGUUUGUAGGUUCAAAUAACAAAGUUGGCAACAAAGUGCUAUUUGGAGCACUAUGGAGCAUUUUUGGGCCAAGAUUGGAUAGUACAAGCAUGGAGACAUGAGGAUGGACGUUUUUGAAGAUUAGAAGGCUAGAAAUCAGCAUGUGUGUGUGCAAGUGUGUUGACCUACAACUACAAACACUCCACCACUACACCCAUUACAUCCACUCAUUACCAAACAUCCACCCACUACACCCAUUACAUCCACUCAUUACCAAACAUCCAUCCACUACACCCAUUACAUCCACUCAUUACCACAACAUACACCACUUCCACCUUAAUUAGAUGGUGGUCAUCUCCCUAACCUAUAAAUACAUCCACCUUUCACCAUAACAAGGGAAGAACCAAGAGAGAACACAAUCUACCCAUCCACCCUUCACCAUAACUCACUAUAUCCAUCCACCACCAUAAUUUACCACUCAUCCAUCAAACCACACCUUGUACCGCAACAAAGAGAAGAAGGAGGACCCUUGGACGUGCUUGCCAUUCAAGUUGGAUUGU
rnacentral:lncRNA from 1 species